rnacentral:sRNA from 1 species
CCACCUGUAGCGCCGAGCUCCAUCCAGCAGGCGGGGGCCAACGACAACCCGUGGAUGGAGGCGGGGGACCCACCGGUCCGCCGAAAUCGGACUGGAGCCUCACCGAGGCUCCUAGGGGUGAAGCCGCCGUCGUUUCCCCGUGGACACGGCAGCGGCCGGGCGACCUCUCCUAGCCCGAACCCGACAGCUGACCUCGUAGGCGCAUACAGAGAGGACAU